GUAUUUGAAUAUUUACGCCUUUUAAUAUAUAACGCACAUGCUGCUAGAGGAAAUGGCCAAAUCACAUUUUUCAGAUGCAUAUGUCAUAUUGCUUUGCUGGGACAAACCCUUUCCAGUCCUGUUGACUUUAGUUGCAAUUUCUUCCCUUUCAAUACUGGGAUGUAUGUGCAGUGUUUCAGUGUAUAAAAAUGGGAGAAGUGGCAGCUUAAUUAUUCAUUACUGAAGAGAUACACCAAUUUUUAAUUUCUAUUUUAGGAUUGAGAUGUCAACCAGAGAGAUUAUAUAUUAUCUCCACAAAGACAGCUAAACAACU